UUAAUAGCUAUCCUCAAACACUGUUUUGCAGAUGAAAAUAAUGAGUAUUUAGGAUAAUAAUAUUUUCUUAUUCAUGGACUGGUUUUCAAAUUCAUGAGGGCAAGAUUUUGUCUUUCAUGUUUACUAAUGCACCCCUGAUGCCUAGAUUACUGUCUAUCACAUAUUAGACACUCAAUACAUACUUGUCAACUACAUGAAUGAACGCAUCUUGGGUAUGAAUGAAAAUGUUGGAAGUAGCAACGGAGAACUAGUAUGCAAAUAUGAGAGCCCCUUCCUAUUACCUCUUUUAUUUUUUCUGUUGUUAUGAAAAUACAUAUGACAUGUGCCACAGAAAAAAAUGGUAUUUGUCCAACUACUAUUUUUCUUUUUUUCUGGAACAUAAAGAAAUAUUACAUUGCCUCCCUUGUUGCUAGUUUGGAACCAUGUAAUUGAGUUCUUGCCAAUGGGAAUGUGGGAGGUAGUGAAGUGAUGUGCUACUUCUAGUUUGAGGCAAGUAAGAAUGCUAUGGUGUCUCUAUUUUCCUCUCUCUUGUCUUUGAGGUAGAAGAAAAGAAGUGUGAAAUUAUGGAUGUAUAAGAUGGACAAGUAGAACGCAACUCAGAUCCUGACUCACUUUUAGAACGAUCACCAACAAAGAGCCACUCAAUUAGCAGACUGUAAUAUGAGAGAUAAAUAAAACUUUUGGAGGUAAAUCCAUGGAUAUUCCAGGAUUUAGGUGUUGCAGAAGUGGAGUCAGAGUGAAGCACUUGUUCCUGAAGUGAUGUCAAAAGAGAGUGACCAGCCGGAUAAUGUAUAAAGAA
rnacentral:lncRNA from 1 species